GGAGAGAUGGCCGAGUGGUCGAAGGCGCACGCCUGGAAAGUGUGUAGGCGGGGAACCGUCUCGAGGGUUCGAAUCCCUCUCUCUCCGCCA
rnacentral:tRNA from 20 species